UGUAAACACCCUUGACUGAAAGACGGAGAGCCUUAUGCGGACUUUCAGUUGGGUGUUUAUUGC
rnacentral:pre_miRNA from 1 species